rnacentral:SRP_RNA from 1 species
CCAUGCUAAGCGGGGAGUCAGCGGUUCCCUUAACCCGAAAUCCGCUCUACGCGGGGCUGAAGACCUUUCUCAGGUUGUCCAGGGUAUGGUAAGGACUUCACUCGAAGGCGUUGAAGACAGGGUCCUGCGCGACGGAAAACCACGAACCUGGUCAGGUUCGAAAGAAAGCAGCCAUAAGUGGCCACUUCCGGGCGACACAGGGUAGCCUUAUCGGAGUCUCUCGAUGAAGCACCGCCUUGUUCUGAACGAUCGAAGAAAGGGUGCAUGG